UACGUAGGGUCCGAGCGUUAAUCGGAAUUACUGGGCGUAAAGCGUGCGCAGGCGGUCUUGUAAGCCAGAUGUGAAAGCCCCGGGCUCAACCUGGGAACUGCAUUUGGGACUGCAAGGCUGGAGUACGGCAGAGGGAGGUGGAAUUCCACGUGUAGCAGUGAAAUGCGUAGAUAUCGGAAGGAACAUCAGUGGCGAAAGCGACUUCCUGGACCAAUACUGACGCUCAUGUGCGAAAGCGUGGGGAGCAAACAGG
rnacentral:rRNA from 1 species